GCACCAUCCGCAUCAUCACGCAACAUCCGUCCAGGCGGCGGCCCACCACCCGCACGCGGGGAUGAGCAUGCACUGAGCCCGGUGGGGCCCGGAACCGGUGCCUGCAGUUCCGCUGCCGCAACGGCCCUGGGCUCCCCCCUAUCCUACCCCCUCAACCUAAACCUCGUUCAGAAUCACGCGACCAUCGCCCACCAUCACGCCACCGCCCAUCACCAACACCAGAAUCACCAUCACCAUCACCACCACCACCAUCACCACCAACAGCAACAACAGCACUCACGUCAAAGCAACUCCUAUUCCGUGCAACAAAAUCCUGGCACGCCGGGGACCGCGCAGACUCCCUCACCCUCGUCCCCCGCGCCUGUACAUAGUCUCUAGGUUGACGCUUCGCCUCUUUCGUACCCUCUCCACCUCUCGACCUACACCUGGUAGUACCGACGAAAUUGUGCUUUCGAAUCUUCGGUUUCACCUAAUCGACCAUAGAACCCCCCUUACCUCGAACAGCCUCGACUGUUAACGUUUUACCUGCCGGCCUGUUUCGAUUCGAAUGACCGCAAUUGUUCUUAGAGUUCGAUAACUUUUUUUACGUCUAAUGCAGUAACAGAUUGAGUCCCGAACGAAAUUUCCACGACUUUCCAUUCGCGCCGAAAUCCUCACAGCUUCUUUAUUUAGCUUGUUUUCGACGUUUACAGAAAUCGAUAUACGAAAACUAAAAGCAUUCGAUACAUCGAUCAACUUAUUCCCGAUGUGUCUAGUAUUCCUAAUGACGUUCGGAAGUUUGCAGGAAUUAAGAUCUAUCAAUGUUAAGCGUUUUAAUCGCGGCUCGAACGGAAAGAAUGACAUCGGUGUUCGUCACGGCACUCAACCUGUUAAUCUGAGCGAGAGUCAACUUGCGCUCCCUAUAGGUACAUCAAAACCCUUGAUUAUUCCCUUAAAUUGAGUACUAUAAAUUGACAGUUGAGAUUCCCGACUGUUACCAGCGAAAUUAAAGAGACACUGUUAAUCGACUCCUGGCAGGUAAGCUGUUAAACGUUUUUAGAAUUGAACAUUACAUCCUGACUAUCGUGUCCUGUCGGAAUGUCCAUCCUAACAACUAACGUUUUGAGGGAUUCCAAUUAGGGAUGUUCAAUUCUUCCAUAAAGAUUGAUUCCCGAAUCGAUUUUGGAAUCGAUUUUUCUUAAUGACUGGAGUCGAUCUUUUAAAAAAUCGACUACAAAAUUGAUCUGUCGAAAUAGAUUCAAAGAUUCGUUUUCCUUUAAGCUAUACAGGGUUUCCAACUUAAACGCCACUGAUAAUAGGAUAUGACAAUUUUUUUUAUGCUAAGGUAAGUGGACCUACUUUUGACACUAACUCAGUCAUCGACACUUUCAAUUUAAUACGAUGGUAUGGUUAUUAACGUAAAUUCAAUCGUUGCUCGGUGUAAAAUAAAUAUGGUAAACAAAGUCGUUGAAUAAGACAGAAUUAAGUACAGGUAUUCAUUGAAAAAAUCGAAAAUCUCGAGAAAGUGGACUCUUCUGAAAAUUAUUUAGAAUUGAACAUCCCAAAUUGAAACCAUUCAAGUAUCCGAAUCAGUCGAUGGCUGCCAACCCUUUCCUCGCCGACUCCUUACCCCUCGAUCCUUCGUCCUCCGUUCGUCGGCAGUUCGAGCCUUUCCCAGCACCCGAUACUACCGACUUUCUUACUUGUAAAUACUAUACAUAGCGCGUGAGAAAGAUUAUUAUAUUAAUUAAGCGGUGUAAUGUUGUAAAAAAUUCUAUAUAAACGCACUGUCGCGCUGUACCAUACACUGACACGUAGGACACACGCAACAAAUGCAUAUAUUACGAAAAGGCGCGCGUAAAUCAUUGUCGUUCUCGCGUUCGUCUCCUCUCAACCCCGAUUCUCAGGCAGAGAUGGGCAAAGUCGUCAUCUAAAUAAAAAUCCCAACCUUCGAACGAAAGAUAUACGAUUUUCAUCUAUUGUUCGUCGAAUAAAAAUAAUUCGAGUUAUUCCCGUUCGACAAAUAGGGAAUUACCAUAUUUAUUCGACGGACAACGAAUAAAUACGUUUGUCCCAAGUGAAUUUAUUCAACGAAUAAGGGUACUGUUUCGUUCGACGAACAGUUUGUCUUCUGUAUCGAACAAAGUCGUUAAAUAAAAGAUGGUUUUCAUUCGUGUUUAUUCGAAGUUCAUUUAAAACCUUCGAAUGAACUUCGAAUAACGAUAUGUAUAAAGAUGGAAACCGCCAAAAGACUAACUGUGUAUCGAAUACAAAAAAGUAUCUCUGCUCGUCGAAUGAAGAUAUCUGUUCGAAGUUCAUAUUUUUCUUUGAAUAUGGUUCUCACGUAUAUAAAUGUUUCCAUCGAUGUUUAUUCGAGGGUUUCGAAAAAACUUAAAGUUUGAUGGAAAUUUUAUCCGAACCAUUCGUCGAAUAAGGACAACUGCUGUUAUUCGAACCCUUCGAAUAACGGAUGAGGGUGAAGUGUCUUUGUUCGAUUUUUUUUUUUUUUCAUUUAAAUAAUUUCUUUUUAUUCAGAUGACGCCCAUCUCUGUUCUCGGUGGACGCGACGAGGAGACCCGACGAAUAAACGCGCGACGUCCGCGUACGAUCAUUCGAUCCAGGGAUAGAGACGUUCUCCGAGGCAGGUUCCAAACAUCGAUCGCGACGGGAGAACGCGUGUCGGAUUUCUCAUUGUCGCGAUUAUUGAAAUAUUAUUUCCCUCCCUCCCCACUCCCCUGAAGCCGCGAUCGCGUUUGGAACUUGGUAUUCGGAUCACAUCCCGUUAUCGGGCGACAACCUUCUUCGACCUUAAUAUCACGAUAUUAUGAAUUAAUUAAUUAAUUAAUUAAUUAUUAUUAUUAUUAUUAUUAUUAAUUAUUAUUAUUAAUUAUUAAUAAUUAUUAUUGAUGUAUUAUUAUAAAGAUUAUAAAUUCAUUUUGAAAGAGAUAAAGAGGAAAUAAACGAUGCUUUUGUGAGUAACGAUUGUGCCUGGAUGAUGAUUCCCUUCGUGAUCGUGUUCUCCACUAAACAUCUAUCAUCCCCUAGCUCGGCCCUUGCUCCUGCUGCUGCUACCACGGAGUCCCGCGACGCCGCCCCCUGGAAAGACGCCCUCGGCACCAGAACGUUUCCCCCCUCGUACCCGAAAAUAGCGGAAGGACCAUCCACUCGAUACGAACGAGACCGCGACCGACGCUAAAGAGAAUAUGUUCGGUACGUAAACUAGAGCUGCCAGUACACGUCGAAUUUCCGGCCCAGAGGAACCGACCUUAGAAUUCGGUGCAUCGUUCAGAGGAUAAGGAUGGCCACGCACUCCCAGGAAUUGUAAUUUCAUGAUUAAAUAAAAUUGCAAACCGUUGAGGUCAAGAUAAUGUCAAAUAGUAAAUGCCCAUAUUAAACGUUAAUGUUGCAGUUAUUCUAAUAUUUACAUUGUAUGUUGAAUUCAGCAAAAUAAAAUACGCAAAACA